rnacentral:lncRNA from 1 species
UUCUUAGAAAUCAAUUCAAACAGGCCCUUACUCUCCUACCAAGAUAAAAUGGAUACUCAAUUACCAUGCGAUCCGACCUUAACCACUUCUGACAAGUUUGACAGUACGAAAACUGUCCACUCAGAUGACUAAUCUACGGACAAGAUAGAAGCUAACCUUGCACAAAACCGUUUUUGAAGAUCCGCUCGACGCACUAUUACUCAGCGUGUCGUCCACAAAAAAAUUGUCAACAAUAUUCGGAAUCAAAUUAAGAACGAGAAGAGAUCAUUUAAAUCUGUCUGAGAAGGCUUCCACAAGAAAAAUCAUAAUUCCUAAAUGUACCCGAGUUCCAAGACCAAACACCCAUGGCACCGACUAACCCUAAUCCGCCUCUAUCAGAAGGUCAGAAAUAUUGUACCUUCAAACUUGACUAAAAAAGUAAUUGCAGCUCUCAAUUGGCACCUUCCAAGCCAUUUUUUCUCCAAAAGUCCAAUAUAGCGUGAAUUAAAUAGCUUGCAAGAAAUACCCGUUAUCUAACCAAUUGCUUCGCCAAGAUCAUUAAAGUAUAACUAUAAUAUUAAAAACACAGCUCGCUUUAUUCCAAUGGUAAAUAUAUUUUUUAUAAAUUUAUUUGUGACUUAAAAUAAUUUGAGAGAUUUAUAUUGAAUGAUUCUUCAACGAUUACAGAAGGAUUAUAAAAUCUAUAUUGAACAAAAUCCCCUAAAAUAUAGUUAAAAACAAAAAUUAAAAAAAACACGAGAACAUAUAUAUCCGUUAUCCUAUAUUAAAAUAAAAUCACAAACCUUGCAAAAACAUAAUAUAAAACAAAAAAUUAAGCAUAUUUACAUUAUGCCAUAAUGUAAAAUCAUUAUUUUUCCAUAUAUUUUCGAAAAACAUACCAAAUAAGAAAUAGAAAAACAUCAAGAAGAUUUUCCACUUUUUAAUGUUUUAAAAACAGAAUACUAAAUUACAUUAGAAUGAAAACUUCUUGACAUAAAAGUCUUACCUCAAACAAAUUUCUUUUUUUAUUAUUUUUUAGACUAAAAUACAGUCCCUUAGACAAAUCAAUUCAAAACAGCCCUUACUCUUCCCUAGCCAAGAUAAAAAUGAUAAAACUCAUACCAUUGCGCGAUCCAGCUUAAUUCCUGAAUGCAAUUUGACACCGGUACGAAAAUGUCCAACUCAAGAUGAUAAUCUACGGACAAGAUAGAAGCUAAACCUUGCACAAACCGGCUUUUGACUGAGAAUCCCGCGGUUUGUCGUUCCACACAAAAAACAUUGUCAACAAUAUUGAAUCAAAUUAAGAACGAGAGAAAUCACAUUUAAACUUGUCGAGAAGCUUCAACAAGAAAAUCAAUAAUUAAAUUAAGGUUCCCAAGACAAACACCUGGCUGCACCACUACCCCAAACCUCUUAUAGAAGGUUCUUAGAAAAUUGUACCUUUUCAAACUGACUAAAAAAUUUGCAGCUCCUUUUCUUCAAUUGUGGCAUCUUCCAAUCCAUUGAUUUCCUCCAAAAGUCCAAUAUUAGGACGCCUUACAUAGCUUGCAAGAAAAAACCGUUAUCUAAACCAAUUUGCUUCGCCAAUAUUAAAUACUAGACUAUAUUAAAAAAUAAGCUUUACCAAUUUAAUAUAUUUUUAUAAAUUUUACUUUUGAUUAAAAAUAAUUAAUUGAGUAGCAGUUUCUAUUUAAAGUGAUUUUUUAUUACGAUUAAAAAUAUAAAAAGUAUUUAUUAAGGAAAAAAACAAACAUUAAAUAUUAAAAAAACAUUAAAAAAAACACAGAACCAUUUUAAUUAUCGUUAUUGCUAUAUGUAAAAAAAAAAUCACCAAACUUUGGCAAAACAGAAACAUAUAAAACAAAAAUUUAACAUAUUUACAUUAAUGCCAUUAAUGAAAAAUAAUUAUUUUCCAUAUAUUUUCAAAACACCAAAUAGAAAAGAAAAACAUCAAAAAGAUGUUUUCACUUUUUAAUUUUUCAAAACAUAAUACUAAAAUUAAUUAUGAAAACUCUAUGAUAUAAAAGUCUUAUCAAACAAAUUUUUUAUUUUAUAAUUUUUUAGAACUAAAAUACAAUUCUUAGAAAUCAAUUCAAACAGGCCCUUACUCUCCCUACCAAGAUAAAAUGGAUAAACUAUACCAUGCGAUCCACUUAAUUUUCUGACAAGUUUGAAGGUAUGAUAUGUCCACCUCAAGAAGAUAAUCUACGGACAAGAUAGAAGCUAACCUUGCACAAACCGUUUUGACUGAGAAUCCCGCGGUGUCGUUCCACCAAAAAAAAAUGUCAACAACAUUCGGAAUCAAAUUAAGAAUGAGAAGAAGAUCAUUUAAAUCUGUCUGAGAAGCUUCCACAAGAAAAUCAUAAUUAAAUUGAGGUUCCAAGACCAAACACCAUGGCACCACUACCCCAAAUCCUCUAUAGAAGGUCUAGAAAAUUGUAUCUUUUCAAACUGACUAGAAAAUUGCAGCUUCAAUUGGGCACUUCCAAUCCAUUGAUUUCUCCAAAAGUCAAUAUAGGAACCCUUACAUAGCUUGCAAGAAAACCCAUUACCUAACCAAUUUGCUUCGCCACCCCUAAUACCUAAAGAGACCCUUAGAUACUCAAAUAAAAGAGUUUAAAUAAAUAAUGCCAAAUAAAAGAUAUAAUAGUUUUAAUGAGUCAUCAAAUAUAGACUAUAUUAAAAAAAUAAACUUUACCAAUUUAAAUAUAUUUUUAUAAAUUUACUUCUGAUUAAAAAUAAUUAAUUGAGAGAGUUCUAUAUUAAAGUGGAUUUUUUAUACGAUUAAAAAUAGAUAAAAAGUAUGAUACAGGAAAAAAAAACAUAAAUAUAUUAAAACAAAAUUAAAAAAAACACAGAACAUUAUUAUCGUUAUGCUAUAUUAAAAAAAAUCACAAACUUGCAAAAACAAAAUAUAAAACAAAAAUUUAACAUAUUUACAUUAAUGCCAUUAAUGAAAAAUCAUUNAAGAGAAGAGAUGAGAAACACAAUCUAACAAAACUUUUCCACUUCUUUCAAGAUGCUCGAACUUUGAUGUCCAAAAUGCCAUUUCUGUUAGGAAGGUUCUUUGCGCGAAUAACAUACAUGCCAUCUCUUUUUAACAAUGAAAUGAAGAAAAAAUAAAAAUAUGAAGAGGCGUGGAUAAAUGGUAGAAGAUGGCUCUAUUUAUUAUUUUAAAAAAUCCACUGACAAUACACGUUAACAUCAAUUGAUUGGCAACCCACGUUUAAAGUGUUGUAGCAUAGGUACCAAAUUAGAUUGACAAUAAUAAACCACUAUAAAUUUAAGUGAACGUCGUAUAAUUCUUUAUUUUAUUUUGUUUAUUUGAAAAAGUUAAUUAACUUGAAAAAUAAUUGAAAAAUGGAUUAUUAUAAGAAUAUAUUUAAACAAAAGUGGGUUAUUUGAGUACAAGAUUUGUAAUUAUUUAGGGAAACUUUUUGCUAAAAACAAACACAAAGGAAAAGAAAACCGCAAGUUGUCGCAAGGCAAUGAAGGAAAGCCUGAGGUAGGGUUUGUCGCAAUCGCGAAUCAUCUCAUGGACCAUUCUGAAGCAUCGAGAAAUCCAUCCCCACGGUGAGUCCUUCCGUCGACCACUCUGUGUCACCGCCGAUGGAGCAUCUCAAUUCUAAGUCGUAGUCUCAAAUCUUCUCAAAAAUUUCCAAUUUCAAUUCUGACUUGGAAUUUCAAAAACAUGUUUGCAGGAAUCUCAAGUCAAUCACUCAACAAAUGGGAGUAUUCAAGUUAACUGUUUUGGACACCAAUGGAAGCUAGCAAACAACAUCAGGAUACUUUUAGGGUUUAUCCCGUAGGCUCAUAACGAUUUACAAUUUCAUUUAUAUAAUUAAUAGGACAAUUAUAUGGUUUGAAGUAUUCUCUUUCUGUAUAUUUAUCAAAAAACAUGAUUUGAUAACGAAGCCGAAAAUGAGACACUUAUGUUCACUGUUUGGCAUUGCAUUGUUUUGAUGAGAAAGUAUCGGAAUGGGGGAUUAAGGAAAAGCGGUGAGAAGUUUGGCGCGUGGCGAUUCCUGCCCGUCAAUGAAUGGGAUAUUGGUGCAAUAUUCAACACUCAGUAGAUAAACUAAUUGUUAUGUGUUUUAAUUGUCAAAUUUAUGGACAAAAUCUCAUUCUUCAUUCAGCAAGAUUUUCUUAACAUGAAUAGAGUCAAAUUAAAAACAUAUUCAGAUUUUCUUUCUUAACAUGCAUAGAUUCUCUUGAUGGAUUUUUAUAUUAUGGAUGAUGGUGCUGAUUACUAUCAAAACAGCUGGACAGAAGGAAAAUGUCCCAUUGGUGUUGGAGAAAAUCUAAAAUCAGGUAUGCUUAUAAAGCUAUUUUGAAUUCAAUAGAGAAUUCCCGUGGUUCUGAAUUCUAGACUAGAAGAACAAGUUAUAUUCCGAGCCAUGCUUGAUAUUGUACAUAAUAUUUUGUCAGGAUGUGAAGAAGUAGUUAGGUCGGCAUCCUGUUAUACUGAGGAAAUGCAAUACAUUAGGUCGGGCAAUCAUUGUUAUACCUGAGGAAUGCAAUACAUUAGGUCGGGCACACUGUUUAACUGAGGAAUGCAAUACGUUAAUAUGAAAGCACUUCAAAUUUAACCGGUUCGACUCCUCUAGAGUUUUAAGAUAUAAUGGUAUUCUAAAUUCUUAAGAUGCAAAAUCAUUGCAGAAUCAAUAUUGAUAUGUUAGUUAUGUUUCCAACUAAGUAGUUUUUCCUUGACUCCCUCCUGUUUAGUUUGAAAGGAAAAAUAUAGGAUGUUCUUGUUUCCAGAGACGGAAGAUAAUUAAGUUGUUGUUUAUAUGAUCAAACCCUAGUUAAAACCUUAGGCCUAUAUGUGUAAGGUCCAGCUUUUUAAAACAUUUAUAAUUCACUAAUCCAAAAAGUGCUCUAAUAGUUCCUACUUCCGUUUGUUUGUUUUUUAGUUAUUACAAGACAUUAUUAAGUGAAACUUGCUCAUUUGUCCAUACCCUUAAUAAAUUGUUUUGUCUUGUAUUUGGUGUUUGAGAAUUGAUUUCUAUAGUACAAUAACACAAUUUUCAAUACUGUUCUAGGAUUUAAAUAAAAAGAUACAUGGUUUUUCAUCUCUAGGAUUGUUAAGUAAAAAAGAUAAGUGGUUUUUAUCUGUCUAAGACCCUUCUUUUCAAGUUUUUGCAACAAUGAGUUUUCUUUGGAUUGUAAUGAUGGAAUCGUAAUAUAGUAGUAUAUUUUAUGAAAUAUGAUGUAGUAUAUGCUUGCAUGGGGGGAGACUCAAACAACAAGAGAUGACAUGAACAUACCAAUGAACUCACUAAUCUGAUAAACCUCAAGAUCCCAUCAUCCAUCCUGUGAGUGAGUGUAUUGUUUUAUUUCCACUUAGAAUCUCCAAUUCAGUUUGGUUAAUAAAUAUUUUUCUGUGCAGAGAACUUGCCAAAUAAUAUCUCUGCAAGUUGUUCUUCUAAAAGGUUCUGAUUGCCUCUCCAUGAUAUGUGACUGCCUUUUAAUAUCGUGAUUAUGUGGUCAUGUAUGUUUGUUUUAGCUUGAGGUAUAUUUUUACCAUCUAUAGUCAUUGUUAAAAUUAAAUUAGCAUUUUUAAGUCAUCUCAAGUUUAACAAGUAUCAUUAGUUUCUCCUUACAUUCUUAAAUAUUUAUUUUGAGACUUAAUUUCAAUCAAGGGUCUUGAAUUUUUAAAUAAAAUUUCAUAUUGCAAACCGAACACAAGUAUCAUAAUUUUGGUGCUCUUAAUUAAUAAAAUUAUAGUGAUCAAUAAAAAAUAAAAAAGCAACUUCAAAAUUUUAUUUAUAUAAAUUCCAUCUAACACACAAAGUGUGAAAGAGUACAAACUUAAGUAUGGAGAGCUGACAAGGUCUUUAUUUAGAAUCAUAAGAACAUCCGACAAACCAAAAGAAAAACAAAAAGUUGCAUGUAAGAAAUAAAAUAAAUUCCAAAACUUCAUGAACCUUUGUCAGCCUCCCAUUGAAUUCCCUGCGCACCACUAGAAAUACACUCUCCAGUAAAUGAAUGUGACAACCGCUGUAAGGUGUGGCACAAUCUGAAUUCUAGGUUUGUACUUGCCCUCAAACAAAAGCCUUAUUUCAGAUAAAAUACAAGUAAAUCAAUCUUCACGCAUCGAACUUGGGAAAGUAAUGUUAAAUGUGAGUCUUAUGCAUUAAUAAUUGGUCCCUUGUGUAAAACUUUCCGCCUGGUAUAAAUAUUACUUUUUCCAAGAAUAUCCUUUAUAUUAUCCUUUUGUAAACUAUUGAUGUCUUUUUAAAUAAGGAGAAAUAGAAACACUGGAUUGAAACAAGUUCCAUGAGAAUUCCACGUUGAAGUCCAAAUAAAAUAUUAGAAACUAUUGAAUCUUUUUUUUAGUGAAACGGCCAAUCGUUUGUGAUUUCCUUCAGUAAUUUGAGCAAGCUGGUAUGAUAAAAAUAAAAUAAUGUUACUAUUUUAUAAAUAUGGUAAAAUAAAAAAUAAAAAAUAAAAUAAACAUAUAAAAAAAAACAAACAUAAAUUACCUUGCUCACAGAAACUUCUUUCCCAACUUUUGCAAUCACGUAAUCUCAGUGUCUCUUUUGACUAGGCCCAGAGACCCAUGAAUUACAAAUUUUUGUGGCAAAUGAGACAAACAGGUUUCUAUCUUCACAGAAUGUUUUGUGGCCAUGUGAGAUCCAGUUUAAAGUGAUCAAAGGAAGGUUGGUGGUGGUGGUGGGAUGGCGGUGGCGGGGUGGUGAAUGGCGGAGGAGGGGGAGACCUUUUCUACUCUUAAGUAAAUCUUCAUAUGGAGAAUAGGUUUUAAUAUUUCAUGGUCUAUGGCGGAGCAGGUGUUGGGUGCAUUGGGAAAGUUCAAUUGAAGUUGGUCAAUGUGAAAGGUGUGUGAAUUGUGAAAUUCAGUGGAAGGUGUAGCCUAUUAGAAAAAACAAUAUUCAAAUAUCGAGUAAUUAACAAUGUGGUAGUAAUGAAGUCAUGUGACCAUAAAGAGAGAAUGAAGUGAUUAGAGAUGCAUGUGCAAUCUCUGCUCACCCUUUUAUAGGGAACAAUUUUCUUGUUCAACAUCUUCAUUUACUAGUAUUGUACAUCAAAAUGGAAGAUAUAUGCAAUUAACGUGUAUAAUUCAUUUACUAGUAUUGUAUAAUUCAUUUACAGUUUUUAAGAACUUUCAAAUUUUCAUUAUCUAAUAGUAGUAUUCAUUCAUAAUUAUUUGUUGCAAUGAAUUGCUAUUUUCCUAUUAUUUCAUAAUUCUAACUAUCACACACCAUACUUUAAAAAUUAAUAAAAAAAACAAAGAAAUUUCAAUUGACAUGGUUAGCACAACGAAAUAUUUCAAUCAACAUGGUUGCUAAUAGUUCAAGAAAUUUCUAUACUAAUCAAUUACUGUUAUAGAAAUUCCAUUUUUCAUUGUCAAAUUAAAUGAAAUUGAAACAAAUAAGGAAGAAAAAUUAAAAAAUUACUACUUAUUUACAGUUCCAAAAUUCCAACAAAUAUGGGUUAUUGCUUAAAUAAUAAAUAACAACAACCCUUGUUAAAAUUUGUGUUUGAUUUAUUUAAGACGUUCUGCCCCAAUAAAAGUGCUACAUUAAAUUAAAGUAUUUUUGAUUUGAGAUUAAUUACUUAUACACUGCAGUGUAAAAAGUUUUAACCGUCGGUUCAUACCAUCCCCGUUUGUAUUACUUUAUAAUUUUAAAAUAAAAGUCAAACUUCUUUUCUAUCCAAAGUCUAUGAUUAACUGAUGGUGUAAAACCUUUUUACACUGACAGUGUAUUUCAAUUAAUCUCUUUUGAUCUUUAAACGAAGCUUUAUAUUAAUGAAUUAUGUUGAUUUUUAAUUGGAAAAUUAUUAUUCAAUUGAUGUAGUAAAACUACUUCCUGGAAAGUUAAAAAAUAAAGUGGUGGUCAAUGUAAAUCAAUGUUUUUAAUUUAUUUUAGGAUCUACAGUAAAUUUUUCAAAAAUAAAUAAAAUAUCAAAAUAUUAAAGUACAAAAGUAUUUGGUAUUGUAAAUAUAAUGAAGCAACAUAAGAACCAAUAAAAAAUUAAAGGAAUCUAAAAUAAAUUUUAAAAUAAUUAAGAGUAAUAAAUAAUGUCAAAUAAAAGAUAUAAAUAAUUUUAAAAUGAGUCAUCAAAUAUAGACUAUAUUAAAAAAAAUAAACUUUACCAUUAGAAUAUUAUUUAUAAAUUUACUUUUGAAUUAAAAAAUAAUAAUUGAGAGAGUUCUAUAUAAUGGAUUUUUAUACGAUUAAAUAAGAUAAAGUAUGAAGAAAAAACUCAUAAUAAUUAAAACAAUUAAAAAAACACAGAAACAUUUGUUACUGAGUUAUAUAAAAAAAUUCACAAACUUGCAAAAAACAAAAUAUAAAAACAAAAAUUUAAAACAUAUUCAUUAAUGUUCAUUAAUGAAAAAAUAAUAUUUCCAUAAAUAUUUUCAAAAACACCAAAAGAAAAGAAAAACAUCAAAAAGAUGUUUUCACUUUUAAUUUUAAAAACAGAAUACUAAAUUAAUUAUGAACUCUAUGAUAUAAAAGUCUUAUCAAACAAAUUUUUUGUUUUAAUAAUUUUUUAGAACUAAAAUACAAUUCUUAGAAAUCAAUUCAAACAGCCCUUACUCUCCCCUACCAAGAUAAAAUGGAUAACUAUACAUGCGAUCCACUUAAUUUCUGACAAGUUGAAAGUACGAUAUGUCCACCUCAAGAUGAUAAUCUACGGACAAGAUAGAAGCUACUUGCACAACCGUUUGAGCUGGAGAAUCCCGAGGUGUCGUUCCACCAAAAAAAAAUUGUCAAACAACAUUCGGAUCAAAUUAAGCAACGUGGGAGAAGAUCAAUUUAAACAUCUGUUCUGAGAAGCUUCCACAAGAAAUUCCAGAAUUAAAUUAGGUUCCAAGACCAACACCAUGGCACCACUACCCCAAAUUCCUCUAUAGUCAAAGGUCUAGAAAAUUGUACUUUU